rnacentral:rRNA from 1 species
AGUGAACGCUGGCGGCAGGCCUAACACAUGCAAGUCGAGCGGAGCGGCGGACGGGUGAGUAAUGCCUAGGAAUCUGCCUGGUAGUGGGGGCUAACGUCCGGAAACGGGCGCUAAUACCGCAUACUAUCAGAUGAGCCUAGGUCGGAUUAGCUAGUUGGUGGGGUAAAGGCCUACCAAGGCGACGAUCCGUAACUGGUCUGAGAGGAUGAUCAGUCACACUGGAACUGAGACGCGGUCCAGACUACUACGGGGAGCAGCAGUGGGGAAUAUGGGACAAUGGGCGAAAACCUGAGCCAGCCUUGCCGCGUGUGUGAAGUAGGUCUUCGGAUUGUAAAGAACUUUAAGUUGGGAGGCGUUACUAACAGAAUAAGCACCGGCUAACUUCGUGCCAGCAGCCGCGGUAAUAC